AUUGGAUAAAAAAAGGGGGAGGGAAGAGCCAGUUAAUCGACAUUGAUUUUGACCAAUUAUUACAGGAAAGCCGAGCAUGACGGAUGAAUUCAACUAUCAAUCAGAUUUCGGAGACGGAUAUGAAGGUGGGGCUUCGGGACUCCCUCGGUCUCUGGGUAGGCGGAGCUGAGGAGGAGAGAAAGAUGGCGGAGUGAAGAGCUGCCGCUCCCGCUGCGGCUAUGGCUGCGGCCGCGGCUGCGGGGAAGCUCGGUGGCCGGGGGUGGGUCAGCCUUGGUCAACGGCCCACUAGUCUUGACAACUCAGGUUCCUCAUACUAGGCAAAACAAUUUUCCUACAAUGUUUAUGGUUGUCCCCAUCUUGAAAGGAAAACAGAACCCAGAGCUCAGAAUUUAGCUGGUUCUUUAGAAGAAGAAAAAAGAUUUCAUUUGCAUCAUUAUAUCCUUCACUGUUUUCUCAGGUGAUCCUGCUUUUUUUACUUAACUGCAAUCCUUGGUCUUGACAUUUGGAUCUAUCUCCUCUCUACUUGAACUCCAUGAAUCAGAAUGGAAAAGAUAACUUCACGUCAUGUUCCACUUCUCAAAUCCAGCACAUUUAGCUUUGUUAGGUGGCUUCCCCCAGGGUGCCAUCUGUCAAUUACACCAGGAAAAAAGAAGUAAUUGAUGUUUGGUAUUCAGCAGCUGUUUGCUUAGAUGAAAGAAGGGAUUUUUUCCCCCCAUAUAAAAGCAUAAUAUUUAGAUUGGUGCCAGGUGCUUAGAUGGUGAUAUUUGUGAGUUCUUUGCCUAAGAACUCAAAAUAUCUGCAGGGGCCACUUGUAUCCUGUUUGGAUUAGUAUCAAAUUAUAUGUAUACAUAAUUAGAACAGGAUAUCUUUUAUUUCAAUAUGGAAAGUACAUUUUAGAAACUAAAAAUAAUGUGUCUGAAUCCUAAUUAAUUCCAUUACAUAGAUUUCUUAGUCCAGAACAAAGGGCCAGCUUUGUAGAUACCCAUGUAACAUGGUAAGUAAAGCAGCUUAUGUAUAGUAUACUGGAUUUUUUUUUUUUUUAACAUGUGAAGAAAAUAUGUUCUUUGAACAAAUAUAUUUCUGGAAGAGUAUGUCCACAUUUAUCAGUGAGAAGAAAGAUUUCUUCCUAAGAAACAAAUCCUGGCUGCAUUGCCUGUUCUCUAGGUAACAUUUGGCUUCAUACCAUUAAGGUGUUUUUUCCAAUUUUCACAAAAAAGGAGCAGGUUGUUCACAAGCAUAUACUCCAUGAAUGCAUUCCUGGAUCCGUUGGGGAAAACAGAUUUCAUUGACUUUUGAUUAAACAAAGAACAAAAAAUUUUGAUCUUACCAAGAAUUAAGGCUGUCUUAUGGAUACUUGAUUUGCUGUCACCUUUCUUCUUUGUGGAGUUUUAUGGGACAUUCUGGAGUUUAAGUUUUCAUCCUGCUGUUGCCAAGAGUGAACUGAAAGAAGGAGCCUGCCUCUGUAUAUUUAUAAUACCAGAUCAAAUUUGUAGUUGGCUAUGAAUAUAGCAGAAUGGGAAAAGAGUGGGAGUAGGAAAGAAUUUUCCCAUGUAACUUCACCUUGAAAGACAAAAAGCAUAAAUAUCUUUUGUAGCUCCAUUUGCAUGACAUCCUAUAUUAUCAUCCCUUUCAGUGUCAAUGGGAACAUAAUCCUUCAAAUCAGAUGACUCCAAGAUAGAUUUCCAUGAGUGAAAACUGAAGCAUCUCAUAGGAAGAUGGGCCGCAGAAUAAUUUUCAUCAACCUUUGCUUGAGGCAGAGUAAAAUUAGGUCUUGGAGAAUUUUAGGGAUUCCAUUCCCAUUUGCACGUUUUCCCCCAUACCCUGCCCCCCCCCCAAAAAAAAAAAAAAAGCCACAAAGUAGUUUUAUAUCUAGAUCAAGCACUGCAUAUGGCAUAGCUUAUUUUCCUCUAAAAAAGGAAAAAAAAAAAAAAAAACAAUGCUUCCCUUGGCAGCUGAAAAUCCUUCCUUGCUCCUGAGAAGUACAAAGCACAGUUUGGGAUGAGGCGUUACUAGUUCAAGAGAAGAUCGCUCUCUUUUAUUUGUGAUGUUACAUGACUAGAGAAAUCAGUCAUGAAACUUUCCAGAUAGUAAGACUAUAUGUUACAUCUUUGAGUUUCUGGGAAUGUGCCCAUCCAGAACCUUGAUAUGAUGCUAAAAGUAAAGACUCUGGAUUCAGGACUGGGUCUGCACAAGUGGAAGUUUGUUAAAGAUGAGAAUUGUCAAAAUGGAAUAUUGACCUCUAAUGAAUUAGUAGGUCUUAGCCAAUGGGAAUUGAAAUCUAAAUCAAAAUGUCUUUUAGGAGGAAAAAAAAUAUGGAUAAAGUAUGAUUUUAUAAGGGCAGUAGUUGAAAUUGGCUAGCAGUAAAAUACAGCAUUCUCAAAGUCCUGGUGUAGUUAAACUUUAAUAGCUUAAAAUUACACUGAGACUUUUGGGAUACUCAAAAUAAGUAGUCAUGCCUUUUGAAAGUUCUAUGUUUGCAGUAGUUAAAAAUCUUUCAAUUUAGUUGGGCAGACCUCCCAGUCAUUUGUUUAUUUUUUUAUUCAUUACUAUUCUGUAAAGGUAAAGGUCAGUGUUAUUGGGGAAACUCCUUACUAAAGGGGUAACAUUGCUGCCACCAAGAUGUUGAGAAAGACUGUAAAUCUUGGUUCUCUGCCAUCCCUUUAAUAUCUUCUUAUUGGUAGCCUUUCUGGCAAGAUCUGCUGGCAGGCAGCAGGGCCAUUCUAUUCUCUUUACGUCUUCUGUCAAACUUGCAACAGAUCUAUUCUGGCCCAUUGGUGCUUUUGGCAUCAGACCUACUUCUUUAGAUUCUUUAGAGUUUUCUGAAUUCAUAGCCAAUAACUUAACUGUUUAGUGUUUCCCUUAAAUAUAUGCCUGCCUUAUUUACAACUGUCAAAAAAUCUUGUUACAACUAAAAUUUGUUUCAGUCUUAUAUUCCCUUAAGACACCUUUUGUAUUUUUUUUUCUAUCUUGCUACAGUUUCCUUCCUGGCUGUGGUUUUAGGCAGUGCUGUCUAUAACCUCUCUAUUUUUCCAGUCCUUCUUGUUGACUGGAAAUUUUCCUUUUUGAAAAGUUAAAACAAAUAAACAAGGGACAUGUGCAAUAAUUACAUAUAUAUGUGUGUGUAUAUAUAUAUGUAUGUGUAUAUAUAUAUAUUUUUUUAAUACUUGUGGACAAAAUAAUGUUACAAGUUGUUUGAGAACAACAAAAUCACCAAUGUCUUCCAUUUUGAUAAUAUGUAUAGUUUCAUAAGCAUUAAAGCUUUGUAGGAAAAUGUAGUGCCAUGUUAGGGGCCAGUGCAUGAGCCUAGUAGUAAUUUUAAAAUUAAAAGUGAUGAAUUCUUUAUAUUAAUAACCAAUAGUUUUAAAAAAUGGAAAAUGUAAAAAUUUCUCUUUUUGUGUAAAAGUUCUGAACCUGUAUCUUCUCCCUGGGGGAAAAGUGACAGACUAAACAUACAUAGUAUUGCAUAUUCUAAACCUGAUUUAACUGACUUGGUCCAAUCUGUACCACAAACUUAAAUUCUGGAUGACACCUCCAUUUCCCCCCCAAUGUAGUGAUCCUGGUUUAUACUUCUUAUGUAGAUGAGAUUAUUCUCAUGUCCCUGUAUGUCUUCUAGCUUAAUCCUGUUUGAUUUCUGUAUGUAGACUUUCUCUGUAUCCAGGGACCACAGUACAAUUUUUAUAUCUUAAUUGGGUACUCUUAUCUGCCUCACAUGAGAUGCUCUGUCAAUUCAAGGGUAGCAUGUAAACUAUUUCACAUUUCCUAUCUGCACGUCACUGUCUGUGGGUUGUGCAGAGAAAUCUUUGUAAAUAUUAGAAUCAAAGUAUUUGUUUUAGGUUGUCCUCACUUUUCAAAUACAUUUUAUUAUUUUUAAUAUGGUUUUCUUGCUACUUCUCUUGCUUGAUUUGCAUUUUGAAAAUUGGACGUGUAGUCAGUUAGAAGCUUAAUAGGUUAUCUCGUAGUGAGAAGUAAAAGAGUAUUUCUUCUGUUUGCAGUAUGCAGUUUAAGGAUGUAACUUUCAAACUUGUACAUGACCUCUUUUUUCUACCUUUCCAGAAGAAGUAGUUUUGCCACUCAUAGACUAGUUCAUCUUUCUCUGAUAAAGCAAUUCCUGUCUGUAAAUGACUUCUUUGAGAAAUUGGAGGUGAUUUUCUUGAAAUUAUUAGAGUCCAAUUUCCCCAAAUAAUGAUUAGAAUCCAAAAACCUCAGAUAAUCCAGGUUUUAUAAAAUAUGGCCUCUACAAAUAUGUGAUAAGUGUGCAUAAGUGCAUGAGAAAACUUAGAGUAAGUAGGCCCCUUUGUAGCAGUGCUCCUAGGGACAAGGUUCAGGUUCUCUUAGUCUAGACUCAAAUAGUUAUACCUUUGAUUCAAAUAGUAUAGUGCUUAGGAGAAUCAGUUUAAAAAAAAAAUACCUCUGAAACUGGAAUGCAAAAUAGCACAGUAUGCAGGGGGAAUGCCCCUGAUGCAAACAAAGCCAUAAAAUAAUGUAAUAAUUUUAAAAGGAUAAAAUUUUAGUAGCAAUAACUAUUUUGCAUGUACUAGUAACUAACUUGAAUUAGCAAACAUGUAAAGUAAGUUACCACCCAAGUUUGUGGUGUGUGGUGCUCAGUCCUUGACAGAGCUGCAUGAAAGAAAACAUGUUUUAGGUAGAUGACAUCUAUAAGAGGGGUGUAUGUGUGCUCACAUGCAUGUGUGCGUGUGUGGAUGUGUGUACGCAUGUGUAUGUACACACUAGAGAAAGAUUUCAUUAUGUGAGACUAAAAGCCCCAUUUCUUUUCCCAGGUAAUUGAAGUGAGCUUUUUCUGGGAAACAAAUUGGAAUCUCACCAGUGCAUUCCAAAUAGCUUUUCUAUUUGAGACUUUACUUUGAGGAUAACUCCUCCAUGACAGAUUUUUUUUCUUUCUUCUUUGGUUUCUUAAAUUCUCUUUUUUUUAGGAUUAAGAAAACAACUUGAAUUUGGUAUUUGCAUUUUCUAUAUUUGUGCUUUUAGUGUUACACUUGUGAGAAAGGCUUUAUGUAUGUGAAUUUGUUUUUCUUUGUUUUUAACCAUGUUUUUAAUGGAGGAGUGGCCAAAGUCUCUGUCAGCUUGUCCUCAAAUGUAGAAAACUGUUCCACCUCCUAGCACACCAUCCCACCAUCCCAAUUCAGGAGCCAAGGUAGAGUAGAGAGACCAAGUAAAUUUUUCUAUUGUCUCAUACCAUCUGUCUAUAUGGAUAAUUCAUCCUGGCCAUUUAGCGCCUAAAAAAUAACUACAUUUCUAUAUAAGCUGGUUAUAAAUCCCUUGGUUCAUGAUGUUUAAUUAUAUGCCUGUAUGUGAACCUAGGGAGGGGAGGGAAGAAAGUCAUGCCUCUUGAAUGUGAUAUUCUUAUUUCGUGAUCCCCAAAGGUAAGACAAAAACUAAAUGUAAAGUAACCAACAUGUCUCAACCCACCAGAGGAAUGUACCCCCUUGGCUUCCUCUUGUUCUUUAGUGUGCCCCUUGGUGUCACACAUUGGAACAGGCAAGCGAUUUUCAGAUAUCUGGCUUGGGCACAGAUGUACAUUUAUGCUAGAUAAAGGACUUUAUAGAACAGCCACAUUAAUUGUGAAUCUAAAUGCUGUAAUUAACCAGAUGCAUCCAGUGCAAGGAUGAUAUCCAGAUAAGCUGCUUACAUUCAAGGGUGUAAGCAUCACCCUUGUGUGGAGACAUCACACUAAUGGGUGAGCUCUAAUUAAAUAUGAAGUGUGAUCAUAUGGUAUUCCAGGCACUAUGCAAAAUGGGAUGAGGUCUUUGCCCUUGAGGAGUUUACAUUCUCUUGGUGCUGCUGGUAAAGGCAAAUAGCUGCCUUUGUUUAGAACUUGCUGGGCUGUUAAAAUAACCUUGGCCCAAAAGAUUGCUUGUUAAAAUAGUUUUUAGAAGCAGAGGACUACACCAAAUUUUAAGGCAUUGGAAAUUUAACUAGUUUAUAUUGUACUUGCUAUGCUAUUAAUCUUUCCAGAAUGUAUGUGGAGCAGGAAAAUAAGGAAUACUAUAUAAGUAAUUUCUUUCAGCAUUAGUAAAAGAAACUUACUGAAUAGGUUCUCCACAACAUACUACCUUUGUCCUUUUGUGGUAUCAUACCCAUCACAAAGUUGGCCAGAAAAAUCCCUAACAAAUAUAAAAUUGUAUAUUUACUUUUCUUAAUAGUGGCUAUUAUUUCUGCUGCCAUAUAUUUCCACCUUUAAGGGAUUGGAUUUGUAUCCCAGUCUCCCUUGUACCAGUGUGAAAUGAUCCUGAGUUUUACUUUUUUAUUUGUUGGUAGUUUUGUAAUUCCAUUCAGAAGUAUCAGAGGGAUAGACAUGGAGAGAACUUGAUUAAUACUCUCAUUUUCUCUUCCCAAAUGUUUCCCAGUUUUCUCCCUUUCAGUUACAGUAUUUCAAAGAAAAUUAAUUGCAUGCAUCUCAGCUAAAUCCUAUGAUGCCUCUGAAUCAAGAAGUUUUGUUUUGCAUGUUUAUCAAACAUGGGUCUGAUUGAGGGACCCAAAUGCAUGAUGACCAUAAAAGCAACAGUGGCACAAAGCCCAUACUCCCAGUUUUGUAGAGCUAGAAUUCUAAUAUGCAUGAUUUAAAAUGCCUAGUGUUAUAUAAUUACUAGGAAACAUAUAUGCAUUUAUAUAUAACAAAGCAAUAGUAACUAUUAAUAGCUUAAAUUUACUGCUUGAAAACUCAGUUCUUGUGUGGUUUGCCUCCCAUCAGUAAAGGGAGGGUAGAGAAUAAACAGGGAUAGCAGCAUGACACUCCAGCUGUUUAGAAGAGGGUUUAUAUUAGCCCCCAAAGCACGGUUUUUAAAAUAACGGGACAAACUAAGAAGAAGCAUGUGGUGUUGAUGAAUGAUUUCUUAGUUGUCUCAACUGUAGCAAUCAAAAAGGUGCAGAGUUUCAGGAGUGAGUGGGUGAGGCCCAACUGUAGUAUAGAAAGUAAUAACUGGGUCUAUUUAAAAAAGGCAAAAGUGGCCUGAGUGUAAGCCCAGUAAAACCAGUACUUUGAAGGUGAAUGAUAUCAAUAAGCAUGUAUUUCAGAUGUUGAGUAGCUUUUUAAUACAGUAUUUUUAGGUAAUUUUAGCCACUUAAAGACAACUGUACUGAAUUGUACCAGUGUCAAUUAGCAAUAAUGGCUCCCUGCAACAAAGGAUACUGUUCCAUUUUGCAGGAAUUGACCUGAAAAUAUUGUUACAUCUUUGUUUAGUUAUAUUGAUAUAUUUUUGAAUUUAUGUAACUUGAAAUAGGUUUUUAGAGCCAAAGAUACAAAAUUAUUUAGCCCUGAUGGUCUGAUCAGUUAGACUCCAUAAAGAAUUCUUGCCCCUCAAGAUGAAUUUAUGUGCAUCCUUAUUUCGUUAAAUAGAUUUACCGUUAACUUCCUCAUUUAGGGAGAAAAAAAGCAAAUGCUCUUAAAUUCACUGUAACACUUAAGAAUGUUGGGGACUAAAGAUUCUUGUGGAGCUUUUGGAGUAACUUGAGUGUUACCAGAAGCAUGUGUGAUUAUAGCAAACAGGAACUAAUACAGGACAAAGAAGUAAUAAUAAGCUGCUUCCCACAAAGCUUUUCCUUCUUAAAUUAGCAUAACCUCACUUUAAUUGUAGGGCUUAUCUUGGCACUGUUGGAAAAAACUCCCAUCUUCCAAGUUAAGGGAUAAAAAUAACCUUCAAAUAGUCCAGAGUUGAACCACUUAGUUCAUACUUAGCAAGUUUGUUCCUAACACACAUUGGAAAGAAGCUUUGCUAAACCUCUUUACAGUUUUUCUCUAGCCACUUAUUGAUAGAACAUCUGUGAAACCAACUAGGGAAAUUAAAUAUUAAUUGUUUUUGGUUUAAGAAUACAUUAACCAUCAACCUUCAACUCCUCUAAAAGGGAGUUGUAAAUACUGAUAUAUGCAACUCCUUUUAUCUUAAAAUACAUCAAGAAACUCAAACUUAGAAUUAUUCUUUAAAAGCAAAAACAAGUAAACAGAAAGCCUUUCUUCUAAAGACAUUUUUCCCUUGAAAAUAAAGGUGUCAAUAUGCUGCGCCACUGUUGAGAUGUUAGGUUGUUUUAUUUUUUCCAUCAUGGGGUGAAGUACCUAAAACAAAUAAAUUGGAAUAGCGUAUGAUAAUUUUCUAUAAUUGUACUAUUCUUGAAUCUGCUUUUAAGUUUAUGUAAAAUAAAACAAUGUGACAUUAAAUUAGGAAGACCCAAAACUCACUUAUAUUCUAUGUAUUAUAUUGACUUUUUUUAGUGCAGGAAAGAUUGUUUACUUACUGUAUGCACAUGCAGCAUUGUAAUCUCUAUUCCAUUGCACAGUUAUACUUUAUAAGGUAAUAUUGUUAGAAUUUCUCAUUGUAUAUGCCUGAAAUUUUUCAGACCGCAGCUUGCUGUUAUAUCUAUGCAUCUUUGGGAUUUUGAAGAAGAGAUUUUAUUCUUUUGAUGGUAUAAUGAGAAACUGUAUUUUAAACCAUACAUUGGAAACUCUGCAACUCUGUAUAAAACUUUUGGGGUUUGUUUUUGGUUUUUAGCAAUAAAGCAGCAUGAGCUGAGAAUGCACUGAAA